rnacentral:rRNA from 1 species
AAUGCCAACCUCCGAGAACAAUAUCCAGCUUUGUACCGUAUUGUUCGCGAUAAGAAUGAUACUCCGACGCAGGUACUUAAUUCAUUCCCGCGGGAUAUUUCUUUCAGGUGGGAUUUGAUUGGCCCCCGUCUUAUUUCAUGGCAAAAUCUGUUAUCUCGAUUGGAGUCAAUUAACCUGACACAAGGAAGGGACGUGUUUUGCUGGAACCUCACAACAUCUGGGUCUUUCACAAUCGACUCUAUGCACCGUGUGCUCACGCAUUCAGAGGUCCUAGUGGAUGAUAAUAAGAAAAUUUGGAUGUCGAAGAUGCCACUAAAAUUUAAAAUCUUCAUGUCGUAUCUUCGAAGGGGUGUUGUGCUAACCAAAGACAAUCUCGCCCGUUGCAAUUGGAAAGAAAGUAAGGAGUGUAGUUUUGUACUUAUGACAAGACAAUCAAACACCCCAGUUUGCGAGUUCUACGUGGCCACUCAUCCAAAUAGCGUCCAAUUUUUAUCCGCCCACAAGUGUUGCCAAUAUCUUUUGUCAUUGGUUAGAUGGAAUUUCAAAUAG